CUGCCAUCUCUAUUGCUCUCACCUUCAAUCAACAAUAUUAUCUUUGUCUGCUAAGGAAAAAUCUUUGUGGUCAAGGUUUCCAGGCUUACUGUUUGUAUAUAUUAGUGGAAAUGCUAAGUCCCAGCUUGAAUAAGCAACCGAGCACCUGGUGGGAAGACAGGGCCAACACAGGGAAGCUCAGGUGUGUGCAAUGCGCCUGAGUGACUGAAAGGGCUGGAGCUAGGAUCCAUCCUUUCCCAGACCUCAUUUAAGGGUUGGCUGUGAAGGCAAAGGUAUCUCUCUGGAGAUACCUGAUGUCUUUUGAAGCCCCAGUGGGGAGCCUUUUCUGAAGACUUGGCCAGCCUCUGGGGUACAGGUUAUUGGGAUUCUAUGCCUGUUCUAUUAGAAGUUCCUGGCAAUUCAAGGCUCAAAUCCAAAUGCAUGAUCUUGCUGAAGCUGCACCCUGGGGAUGGCUGCCUUAUAUUGUUUCUUCCUCUAGAGUAACUCAUUGCUUGAAACAACGACAAAUAGUACCUGCUAGUCACUCAGCCUCCAGUUACUCAGUUGCCCAUGUUUCAACAGACUGUCAAAUGAACCUCUCUCAUCUUUUUCUAA